GGCCCGGUUACCACCGGAUGUGGAAGUUGAUCUCUUCGCUGGUAAAAAAUAAUUCCACUUCCCCCGGAACCCAGAUCAUCCCCGCGAUUUCCUGUUUAUUGCAUUAAGGCGCUGGGUUUCCGGGGCUCCCGGACCCGCGGAUUCCGCGGGGGUCGGUGGGGUCGGCCGGGCGCCCGCUUCCCCCCCAUGCCGCCGCCGCCGCGCUUUGUCCCCGGCCCCGCGCGGUACAUGGAGGCCGCAGACAUGGAGGCGGCCGCGCCCGGGGUCGGGGCUGGGCCGGGCCAGGAUCGGCGCCGGAGGCGGGAGACGCCCGGGCCGGGACGGAGCCUCGCGGCCCGCCUCGGCCUUUGUCUGGCUCCUGCAAGCGGGUGGCCCGGGGGGCCCGGCGUCCGCGAUCGCGCAGCCUCCCCGAGACCUCGCUCGGGACCUGGGGCGCUCGGAGCGCGGACGCCGCCGGCCCCUCGCCCACUGGGACUCCUGGUGCGCCCGGUGCGCGUCGCCGGGCCCGCAGCCGCGGAUCGCGCGCCGGCCUCCGAGGUGACCGUGGAGCCCCCGCCCGGAGGCGCGGCCUCCUGAUGUGCCUGGCCCAGCUCGGUCCGCCCCGUGCCCGUGGUUGCGUCUGUCGGACGGAGCUCUGCUUGGGCCCGGGCCGCGGCUCUUCCGAAGGGGGCUGCGUGAUGGGCAAUUUUGAGUUUUGUCCCUGGACUCUGGUUUGCUGUCUCAAUUCAGGCAAGUUAUUUUCUGAAAAGUUAUUUUAUUUUGAAAAAAAGAUCUAAUGGAAUUUGUCGGUGAUUCCUACAAAGCAAUUUUGGCACCCAGAGUUGAAACCACCCUAAGUUAUUUUGUUGCAGGCAAUGGUGACAAAGUCUCACCUGCUCGUAGUUUAUCUUAUGUAAGGGUCACCAGCUUGGUUUAGGUUUUUCCUUUUUUUCUUUUCUCUUAGACAAGUUCUUGCUGUUUAGUCCAGGCUGGGCUUGAACUUGCAAUUCUCCUGCCUCAGCCUGCUGGGAUUCUAGGCGGGGUCGCUCGCUACUCCACCUUUGGUGUAAAAUUUUUGCUGACAGAUUUCGACAUUUCCACUCUCAGGCACAGACUUUGAAUUUAAGGAAACUAAAGACCCCUUUAUCUCUUUUUCUUCUAAGUAUUUUUUCAAAAACAAAAAAUAUCGAGCACACGUGAAUACAAAUGACAAGAGUGAGAUUGUUUUUUAUUUCUGCAAAUCUUUUGAAUGCGUGGUUUGAUACAAUACAGCCAGAUUCUUAAACCUACUUCUGCAUUGGUCUCUUGUAGUGUCACACCAUGCCACCUCUGGAAAACUCCACGGUACCCUUGUACUUUGUUUUAAGUGAACAACCAUGUCAUCCUCUGUUUUCAGCAUGUAGGUCAAGUCGGGGUAUUAUGCAAGACAUACUUUAAAAGUACAGAUAAGAAUGAUUACUACACAUUUUCCUUGGACUCUUACAUUUUUUUUUUUUAAUGGGAUUUAGAACCAGGUGUGGUGGUGCAUGCCUGUAAUACCAGCCCUCUGGAAUCUGAGGCAGAGUUCCAGCCCAGCCUGGACAGUUCAGCAACCUGGUGAGACCCUGUCAAAAACAUUUUUUUAGAAAGGGCUGGGGUGUAGCUCAGUGUGAAGGCCCUUUGUUCAGUUCCUAGUACUGAAAGAAAAAAUUGGGAUUUAGUUGUAUAAGCAAUACUUCAGAUAGAUAAAGUUCCAUAAUCUAUGUACCUGGAGACUCAGGAAUGUUUAGAAAUAUUCUAAGUGAUUAAACUUAAUUUUAAUUUCAUUAAUGAUAUACACAAAACAUGACUUCCAUGUGAGAUUUGCUUGUGAAAAUUUGUGUGUAAGGGUAAUCAAAACACUGUAAGAACUCUAGAGAAGUUCUACAAUGAAACCUUUGGUAAAAUGAGAUAGUUUGACACACACACCCUUACAGAGUUCUUAAUGUCUGGAUGAAUCUGAAUUUGUUGGGUGAAUGACAAAUUACACGGGAGUGUGUAAACUUUUAAGAUCACAUUUUGAUUUAAUAGUUUUGAAAGGAAGCCAAAUGUUUCCAGUUGUUUCUGUGAACUCUAGUCUGAAUCUGUCAGUCUGUAGUUCUCUCCUGUUUCAUCAACAGGAAGCAUCUGGUCAUUCUUUAUGUAAUUGUUAGAAAAUGCCAGGUGUAUUUUUAAUGUUUGCUGUUUGUGUGAAAAUAGAUUGGAUCUUGGUUAAUCUUACUUGAUGUUAGUUUAUGCAACCCAUCCCUUCCCGAGCAUUUUAACAGGUAAAGCAAACAUGUCAUUAGGAAUUUAGAAAAUGUUUUUUUUUUUUCUUGCGGUACUGUGCAUUCACACUGAGCUACAUCCCCAGCCAGCCCUUUUUAUUUGGAGACAGUGGUUUUGCUGUGUUGCCCCAGCUGAGCUCCGACUUGGGAUCCUAUUGUCUCAGCCUCCUGUGUAGCUGGGAAUUACAGGCGUGUGCCCCGAGCCUCAGCUGCUUCAUGACAUUUUGAAUCAUGAAUCCAUUUCUGAGGGUGCGUGAGACCCUUAUCUAGUUCCCCUUUUCGAGUUCCCCUUUGGAACAAGUGGCCUGAGUGCAGAUGCACUCACUGACCAUCUCUUUUCUCUCACUCGGCAAACACUGAAAAAGAAACCCAAACAAGAUGUUGUACUUUAAGAUAACUUGAUUUUCUUUUUUUGUGUGGUACUGGGGAUAGAACGGAGGACCUCAUGCCUGUCAGUGUAAGGAAGCACGCUACUACUGAGGCACAGUACUACCCAGCUCUUUUUAAGUUUAAUUUAGAGACUGGAUCUGCCCAUGCUGGCUGUGAACUUGCAGUCCUCUUACUUAGCUUCUCCAGUAGUGAGGGUAACAACAGGCUUGUGGCAGUGUGCCUGGCUGGUUUCGUUUUUUUUAAAUUGACAGAUAGUUGGCCAUAUUUUUCUGGUUCAGUAUGGUAAUUUUUUUGAUUAUCAGUGUGAAAUGAUCAAAUUAAGGUAAUUAGCAUUUCCAUCUCCUUAAACAUUUAUCAUUUCCUUAUUUUGGAAACCUUUGAACUCUUCUCAUUCUUUAUAACAUAUAUAAUAAAUUGUAAACUCCAAGCACCCUAUUGAGACAAGUUAAGUUUUUUAAUAUCAUUCCUUUGAUCUAUAAAUCAUCUAGUAAUCAUGUUUCUGGAGCACAAAUAUGUCUACUUUGGCAUAUAGUAAUAGCACUAUACUGUGCAUAACUUUAUUGAAGAUGCUUGUUGUGUCAUACUUUUUUGGGUUUUUUUAUGGUGGGAUGGAGCCCCCAGCUCUCAUCAUACUUAAAGAUAUUUCUGAUGCCAGACAAAGUUAGUGUUAGGGCCUCAGUAUCUUCUCCUUGCACUGUGGUGCUCUGCUGAUCAGCUGUCAGUUUAGUCUUUGCGGGAUAGUUCACCUUUAUUUGGGCUGAUUCAGUCCAUGACAUGAGUGGAGAGGUGUGAGCCUAGGCUUGAAAUGAUUUUGCCACUACAGAUAAACUCAUGUGCAGGGUCAUGGAUUCAGAUGUAGAAAUCCAAAACUCUUAGCCCUAGUUCUCUUACCUGUUAAUUAGGAAGAUUCUAAAGGCUGGCAAAUGCUAAUGCUCGGAUAGAGAAUGUAGAAAAAAAAGACUUGAUCAUUUUAACAUUUCAUGUGAAUCAGAUUUCGCUACUUUGUAAUUUUUUUAAGAAAUAAAAAGGUUAAGUGGUAGAACCGCAUAUACAAAGAACUGAGUGUUGGCCCCACUUUACUCUGUAUUGGUUGUGCCAGUGAUACUGUAUCAGCUUUUAUUGUAUCAGCAUACUCUCCGGGAGUGGGACUAUGUAUCUUUCCCCAAACUUGAUAUUACAGUAGAACCACCUGUAGAUUACUUAAACACAACAGCAACAAAACAGACGCCAGCUCUUAACUAGGCUAGGGCCUGGGUGUCCUUUGUUGAAGUUUCCAAGAUUGUAGACACUGAGUAUAAACAUUAAACUGUAGAGCACAGGCAGAGAAUCUUGACUGGGAGAAAUGGAGAUGAGGACGUACUGAACAUGGGUGUUUGACCCCAUGAAGAGCGGACAGCAGCUUUAAAUACUUGGAGGUUGGUCAGAAAGGCCAGGUUGGAUCUGACCAGAGAGAUGGAAUUAAAGGGUAGAAGUGGGAGUCAGAUUUCAAUAAUGCUCCGAGAGAAAUUUCCUUAAAAUUGCAGAAGUGAAAUGGGUUGUUUUGGGUGGUGGGCUGUGCCCAUUCCCUGACAGUGUCCAAGUUGGGGAUUCUAGGGUAGAAGAGCUGAUGUGCUGAAGGAGGAUUUGGGCUGUGUGUCCUUGGGUUCCCUACAAACUGAGAGUUCAUAAAAUAUGUCGAGGUUUGCAGAUAUUUAGAGGAAGAGCAAAACUAAUUGAAACAAUUGAGCUUAUUGGAUCAUAAUUUCCACCUUCUUGGAUAGAGAACAGUUUUGUUUUGUUUAAGACAGGGUCUCACUGUGUAAUCCCGGCUGGCCUUGAGCUCAUAAUCUUCCUGCCCCAGCCUCCUGAGUGCUGGCAUUACAGGCAUGUACCUAUACCCUGCUGAGAGAUGAGCAUUACGUGAGAGGGUUCUUUGAUGAAGAGCUUUAAAUUACACUGUAAUUUGGCAGACUUGAGCCUUAAAAAUGGACAUAACUUCUGACAUGGACAUUUCCAUUUAAAGGAAUUUAUCUUGAUGUCGUAAAGGUGUGCAUGAAGUUUUCGAUAGUAGCAUUGUUAUUAAUGGAGCUAUGUGUUGGAUGGAGUUGUAGCUCCUGCGUGGCAGAGCUUAGCGUGCACUAGACUUUGGACACCCCCCCCCCAACAACCAACCAAACAAAAAAACUGUUUACACCUUUAACCCCUGUAGUAAUCUUACAAACUGGUCGGUUAGUUGGCCCAUUUUUCAGAAGACAGUACUGAGGCAUAAAGAAAUGAGGGAGCGGACCUAAGGUAGCUAGGAUGUGCACCCGCCGUGUGAUGAAAGCCAGCAUUCCUGAUCACUACACUGUAAGCUUGUAAACACCUGAAUGUCCCCAGUGAGUGUUAGGGUGCAUCCCUAAAUGGGAUGAUUCUAACACCAUCCAUUAAAGUAAUGAUGUGAGAAGAAUGUAGACAUGAAAAGGUGUCUUGGUAUAUGUAAGUGAAAAAGUAGAUUUAAACCCAGGAUGUAUUUUGAUAAGUGAAAGAAUACAUGCUAAAUUGUCCUGAAAUUAUUUCCAAGUGUAAUUUUAUAAGGUGAUUAUUUUCUUUGUGCUUGUCCAAAUUUUCUAACUUUUACAGUGAAAGUGAAUUAUUGUGCAUUACUUACAAUUAAAAACAUCUUGAUGCUCCUAAUACAAAAUUAAAGAUACUCAUGGAAGCUGAGGAAUUUGGAUUUUACACUAUGCAAUUUAUGCAAGUGGAUUUGGAGAUUUGUAUAAAUGAGAAUUUGUAAGUGCAGGAAAUGUUGGGUUUUUUAAAAAAAGUUCGAUUCCUUACAUUUUAGAAGUAUACCUUAAUUGAAUAGAGAUAAAUAUCAGUGACUCCUACCACCUCCCUGACCAUAAUUAGUAGUUUUGUUUUCUUCAUCUCAUGUACUAUUUUAAAUAUUGUAUUAAUCCCACUUACUCUAUAUGAUGUUAGGCAGUUGACUUAAUCUCUUUGUGCUGUAGUUUUCUCCUGGAAAAUGGGGAUUAUUAUAAUACCUAUCUUGUCGUGAUGGGGAGGAUUAAUGAAUUAGUACACACUGUAUAAAGUAAUCAGAACAGUGCCUGACACAUAGUUAAUAGCUCAGCAAAUGCCAAUAAUUGUUGCUAUAGGAUCACAGUCCACUAAUCAAAAUCCUUGGAGUCUAAUAAUUUCAGAAUUAAUUUUUUGGAGCUGGGUAGUACGUAUACCUGUAAUCUCACUACUCUGGGCAGCUGAAGGAGGAGGAUGGAGAGUUGGAGCCGCGCCCCCUCCCCCAACCUAGUGAUUAGUGAGACCCUGUCGCAAAGAAAAAAAUAAAGACUGGAUUGUGUCCAGUGCAGUACUCUUCUUCAGUGGUUAUUAUGCCUGCAGUCAGAUGUGUGAACAGUUAGGCCAAAGGGGAUAGACUAUAAAUAGCUGCAUGUCAGUACAGGGCAGGUUUUACUACCAAAUGAAUGAUUUUGAGGCUCAGAUUUUUUUUUUUAGUUUUUAGAAUUGCAGAUAAGAAAUUAGAACAUUUAUUCAAGUUUGAGCCCCAUUUUUUUUUUCUUUUUUUCUUUUGGUACUGGGGAUCAAACUCAGGUCCUUGCGCGGUGGAACCACUGAGCUAAAUCCCUGGCCCUGAGCCCCAUUUUAUUUUCAUAUUAAAAGAUCUUUUUGUAGUUUGUGUAGCUUUAGUGCAUGGAUAAAAAAUAAUGGAAAGUGUCCACUUGUGCCUCCUUUGAUUAAAAAGUAAGUUGAAACUACUGCUUCUGAGCUUCCUAGGGCUUCACCGCUUCCUUCUUAGCUUAACUGCAGCUUCGCAGUAUUGAGCUUGGCUUCCCAGGGCGCCCCUGCCGUGUCGUUAAGUGUAGCACCUGCACGCACUGCUGCGGCGCUCACGGCCUUUGCUUUGCUCUGGUGUGAGUGUACUGUCCGGGCCUCCCUGUCUCCGCUUGCUCUCUCCUGUCUCCUGUGUCGUCUGUCUCACGCCUUGUGCCCACUUGAUCUCCCGGCAGUGCAGUCGUGGGUCUUCUGCUCUCUGCCCGCGUCUCCCCUUGGACAGGUUUGUUUUGCUCUGAUGACUCCCAGGUGUGUUCUGGUUUGUAGCUCAGGAGAUUUGUUGUGUGUUUCGACUGGAAGGCUGAAGGCAUUCCUGUCACCUUCACAUUUGUUACCUAGUCUCCGAUUGGCACCAGGCUUUCAGUUAGAUUCGCUGUUGGUGCCACCAUAUUUAAAUCUUGAGCUUGUCUGUGAUGCCUCUUUUUCCUUAGGCCCAUCAAUCAGGCAUAGUUUUUCUAACUUCAGAUUCUCCUUCCUUGAGUCUGUCCUUCAUGUGACUGCCGGGAUAAUUUUCCAGAAACUUUUGAACCCUUUGCUACCAAACUGAAAGCCCAAGGAGAGAGCAUGUGCUGUUGACCUUUGCCAUGAACUGAACCUGAGCUGAAUAAAUGUUUGAGUGGAUCUUCAUUUGCUCAAAACUUUGCCUUCUCCCAAUUCAAACUUUCAGGACUUGCAGGAUAAAGUCCGAAUUCUACUUUCUGACUUGCAGACCUUUUUGUUUGUUCUGCUUUUCCACCUUAUCCCUUAUUACUUCUUAACAUUACUGAGUUGGUUUCCUCUGUGGUAUAACUUGUGCUGCCUCUUUCCUUUUCCUUGCCUGCCUAAGCCCAUCCAGGAAUAUUUGCCCCGAGUUGGGUGUUGUUCCAAUCUCUGGUAUUAUAGCAAUGAACAAAUCAAGACAAAAUUCCUGUUUUCUUACCACUGACAUUUGCGGGGGGGACACAGUAAACAAAUAUGUUAGGCUGUCCUGAGCUUCCUGAGGAGGAACGGACUGAGAUAGAAGGCUGGAGUGGCGGCAUGUGGCUGCUGUGUAAGUGGUUAUCUGAGUAAGGAAAGAGCUUUUCUAGGCAGGAAAUGUGUUAGACCCCAAGGUGGCUCCAUGUUUGGCUUAGAAAAAUGCUAAAUUCAUGUGGCCAGAGUAGAGUGACCGAGGGUGAGGGCUCGGGCUGGGAGGCCAUGGGGAGCCAGAGGCACUUCACAUGUGAGGUCUCCCUGGGGAAGCUGUCCUUGACUGCGUCAUCUUGUUAAUUUAAACCUUUUUCAAAUAGCACCUGUAGAAGUAUCUUUCUUUUCUCUGUGCGGGGAUUGAACUCAGGUCCCUUUGCAUGCUAUGCAGAUACUCUAUGCCCAUCCAGCUAGAUUCCCAGCCCCCAAAUUAUUUUUAUAUUGUAACCCACAGUAGUUGUGGAUUAACUACUGAGCAACUUGGAACACCCAGCUGAACUGAGUCAGCGUGGUUCUGGGCGUGGAAGGCCCACCUGAGGAUUGUUGCCAAUGGCAGAAAGACCUGGAGGAAAUGAUUGUAUGCUGUUGAUUUUCUUGGAGAAGCUUGCCUGCUGGUUUUCCGGAUGCAAACUUGGCUUUUUUUCAUCAUCAGAGGAGCUCAAGGCCUCGCUGUCGCUGGGAAUGGCUGCUGUUCUCAGGGAAGCUCUGAUCUUCGCCUUGAGCAUUGCUUCCUGCUCCAUGCAGAUCCCUCAGCCUGGUGCCACAAACCCUUCACCCCUCUUGGGCAGACUUUGUGGCUUCCACCACUGGCCCUUGGGCCUUCCUGGGGCAGAUCCUCAGUGCAGACCUGCAUGAGAUAUUGCUGUGGGCCCUGGGCCUCUGGCUGGACUUGUGAGGGACAUUGGCGUGGGAUCCAGGCCCUCCAGUGGAUUCUUCUAGCACAUGGACAGAUCUGUGGCACUCCUCUGCAUUUGACUUUUUGGCCUUCCCAGGCCCUGGAAAACUCUCUUCUAGUGUCUGCUUCUUUGAUACCAUCCUUAGCUUCCGCCGGUAAGGGAGAGUGCGGUAGCUGUCUGUCUGCACCUGAAUUUCACUUGGUGUGAUGUCCUCUUGUCACAUGCAUGUUGCUGCAAGUAAGAGAGUUUCAUUCUUUUUCUUUAGUGCAUAAUGUUCUGCCGUGCAUCUACACCAGUUUCUUUAUCCACUCAUCAGCGAUGGGCAUCUGGGUGAUUCCAUGUGUUGGCUGUGGUGAGGAGUGCAGUAAGUGUGUGUACAGCUUUCUGGGACACGGGGGUUUCAUUUCCUUUGGGUGUGUGCGUAGCAGUGGGACUGCUGGGUUCUGCGGGAGUUGUGUUCCUAGUUUUUAAGGACUCCCCCUACUUUUGACUAUAACAGCUGUUAAUGACAUUCCCACUCACAGUGUAUGAGAAUUCUCCUUCCUCUUCAUCCUUUCCAGCAUUUGUUAUUUUUUUGUCUUUUUGAUAGUAGCCAUUCUGACCGGGUUGAGGUGAUAUCUCAUUGUGGUUUUGAUCUGCAUUUCCUUGAUUAUUAGUGAUAUUGAGGUUUUUUUCCUAUACUUAUUGGCCACUUGUCUGUUGUCUUUGAGAAAUGCCUGUCAGGUAAUUUUCCCAUUUUAAAAUCAGAUAAUGAACGUAUUUUUUCAUGUUGUAAAAUAUUUUUGUUUAAAAAUCCUGACUACAAUUUUUCAAAAGUUCAUAGUGUAUUUGUUUUGGCAACACAUAUACCAGAGUGGUAAUGUAGAAAGAGUGGGCUUGUUUACUUCAUUAAACAUUUAUGGAGUUGUAUGCUGGAAACAUCUAAAUACUAAAAUGCGUGUGAGAGAUCGUAUCUCGGCCUUUUGGCUAAGGUCAAGUGUAAAAUACGUGUGAGAAUAAGGUAAAUCCUGACUGACUCCUGAGGCUUACGUCUAGAUGGGAGAGGAGAGCUUGUGGUAUUACAAAUAACAUCAUUGUAACGUGAUGGAAUCCAUAUAAUAAUGGAAAUAUGGCCAGGGUACACUCAGGAUAGAGAGGUGAUUAAUUUUGGGGGUAAUGAAGGGAAACUUUUUGGAGGAGAUAAUGUCUGAACUGGGUUUUGGAAGGAGAAGAGUAACAUUUGGUUAUGUAAAUUGGAGUAAAGAAUUCUCAGGCAAAACAGCAUAUGAAAGAGUGGUGUCCUGAGGUAGAAUGGCCCUUAGGGUGCUCAUGGAUAACUGUGUCAGUGUAAACCCCUCCCCCGGGGGCGGGAGAGAUGAUGAGCCUGCCAAGAGGGACAAGCCAGGUCCCUAAAUGUCUGUGGUACGUUGGAGGUACCACUUUCAGUAAUGGUUGGGCGUGUGCGGUGAAAAUAAUGCAUAUUCAGAAUUACUGGUCGGAAAUUGCCACAUGGGAAGUAGAGAUACUAUCUCACAGUAAGUUCAAAAUAACC
rnacentral:lncRNA from 1 species